rnacentral:rRNA from 1 species
CAGGUUUACCUGUGUGACUGCGUACCUUUUGUAUAAUGGGUCAGCGACUUAUAUUCUGUAGCAAGGUUAACCGUAUAGGGGAGCCGUAGGGAAACCGAGUCUUAACCGGGCGUUAAGUUGCAGGGUAUAGACCCGAAACCCGGUGAUCUAGCCAUGGGCAGGUUGAAGGUUGGGUAACACUAACUGGAGGACCGAACCGACUAAUGUUGAAAAAUUAGCGGAUGACCUGUGGCUGGGGGUGAAAGGCCAAUCAAACCGGGAGAUAGCUGGUUCUCCCCGAAAGCUAUUUAGGUAGCGCCUCGUGAAUUCAUCUCCGGGGGUAGAGCACUGUUUCGGCUAGGGGGCCAUCCCGGCUUACCAACCCGAUGCAAACUGCGAAUACCGGAGAAUGUUAUCACGGGAGACACACGGCGGGUGCUAACGUCCGUCGUGAAGAGGGAAACAACCCAGACCGCCAGCUAAGGUCCCAAAGUCAUGGUUAAGUGGGAAACGAUGUGGGAAGGCCCAGACAGCCAGGAUGUUGGCUUAGAAGCAGCCAUCAUUUAAAGAAAGCGUAAUAGCUCACUGGUCGAGUCGGCCUGCGCGGAAGAUGUAACGGGGCUAAACCAUGCACCGAAGCUGCGGCAGCGACGCUGAUGCGUUGUUGGGUAGGGGAGCGUUCUGUAAGCCUGCGAAGGUGGCCUGUGAGGGUUGCUGGAGGUAUCAGAAGUGCGAAUGCUGACAUAAGUAA